rnacentral:rRNA from 1 species
AUUGAACGCUGGCGGCAUGCUUUACACAUGCAAGUCGAACGGCAGCGGGGAGGAGCUUGCUUCUCUGCCGGCGAGUGGCGAACGGGUGAGUAGUACAUCGGAACGUGUCGAGAAGAGGGGGAUAACCACCCGAAAGGGUGGCUAAUACCGCAUAAAUUCUGAGGAAGAAAGCUGGGGACCUGGGAAUAGGCCUAGCGCUUUUUGAGCGGCCGAUGUCGGAUUAGCUAGUUGGUGAGGUAAAGGCUCACCAAGGCGAAGAUCUGUAGCGGGUCUGAGAGGAUGAUCCGCCACACUGGGACUGAGACACGGCCCAGACUCCUACGGGAGGCAGCAGUGGGGAAUUUUGGACAAUGGGGGCAACCCUGAUCCAGCCAUGCCGCGUGUAUGAAGAAGGCCUUAGGGUUGUAAAGUACUUUUGUUAGGGAAGAAAAGUCAGCUGUGAAUAAUGGCUGAUACUGACGGUACCUAAAGAAUAAGCACCGGCUAACUACGUG